CAAGCACAUAUAUUUGCGAUACUGCAAAUCUAACAUAAACAAGUGGUAUAAGUGAUGAUAAAACAUACAGCAUGAAGAAAGGAUCACAACGACUAUACGAGUAAGGGACGGACGGCUCCUCCUCGGCCGCCAACCCUGAGGCCGGCGCGUCGCAGUGAUAAGCUGCCAUAAAGCAUUCACAAGAGUCUUUAGUCUAGCGUCAAAUGGGCACGUGAUGAAGAACCUCGAGUAUCAAGGUCAUCGCACUAAGGAAGCGUGUGUCUGGCAGCCCUCAUGGUUCACGCCGCCUCUUAAAACCCUCGGCGUGAAGGUGUCAGACGUGAGUGUAAAGUUAGUGUGUAUUGACGAAAGGUUUGUCUCCAUUCUGACGGGACUAUGGCAGCGGCGGCGGUGAUGGCGUCGGCCCCGGAAGCGGCAGUAGGAUGCUCGUGACCUUGGCUGAGCUGAGCUGGGACAGGACUCACCUGAGGUUCCCGGAAGCGACGGGAUAACAGACGUGCUGGUUCUCCUCCACUCCUUCAUCAUCGACGCAUCUAUUAGGAGGCUGUGAGUUCGAUAUCCUCCACUGCUUCUCCUCAUUCUCCUCGCGGACGCUGUGAGGGAGCAGGUGGGAGGCUGGCUCGCCCCUUCAACACACCUUUACCUUAUAAGGAUGUCAGGUGGACCGAGUGAGGCACAUCUAACAUCCCAAAUGCUGCUUCUAAUCACUGUUUAUUCUGUGGCGGAGGAGAGGGUCGAUCUCACACCUGCUCACUGCCUUCCUCACCCCUGCCGGCCUCCCCUCAUGGCCCCUCGUGGCUGCAGGUCACAAGCGGAGUGUGUGGUGACCUCUUGUAAACACCUCUGUAACUUCUCUAUUCAGGUAUUUUGCACGCUUGCCCAUGAAAGGCGAGGCAGGACGAGACGAAGGCUUUAUAAGGCGGCGAUACAGCAGAGAAAGAAUGCCAGGCAGAGGGCGGUGCGUCUCUCGCUUCGACUUACCAGUGGAGGCUGGCGUGGUGGGAGUGCAUGUAAGGCAGAUAGAGAUAAUGUUGGAGAGAGAGAGAGAGAGAGAGAGAGAGAGAGAGAGAGAGAGAGAGAGAGAGAGAGAGAGAGAGAGAGAGAGAGAGAGAGAGAGAGAGAGA